UCCGGUUUGUCACCGGCAGUCUCCCUAGAGUGCCCUUGCGUAGCAACUAGGGACAAGGGUUGCGCUCGUUGCGGGACUUAACCCAACAUCUCACGACACGAGCUGACGACAGCCAUGCAGCACCUGUGUUCCGGUUCCCUUUCAGGCACACCCGCCUCUCAGCAGGCUUCCAGACAUGUCAAGGGUAGGUAAGGUUGUUCGCGUUGCAUCGAAUUAAUCCACAUGCUCCGCUGCUUGUGCGGGUCCCCGUCAAUUCCUUUGAGUUUUAACCUUGCGGCCGUACUCCCCAGGCGGUCAACUUCACGCGUUAGCUACGGUACUAAGGAAGUCUCCUUCCCCAACACCUAGUCGACAUCGUUUAGGACGUGGACUAC
rnacentral:misc_RNA from 1 species